rnacentral:rRNA from 1 species
GAUGAACGCUGGCGGCGUGCCUAAUACAUGCAAGUCGAGCGAAUGGAUUAAGAGCUUGCUCUUAUGAAGUUAGCGGCGGACGGGUGAGUAACACGUGGGUAACCUGCCCAUAAGACUGGGAUAACUCCGGGAAACCGGGGCUAAUACCGCAUAACAUUUUGAACCGCAUGGUUCGAAAUUGAAAGGCGGCUUCGGCUGUCACUUAUGGAUGGACCCGCGUCGCAUUAGCUAGUUGGUGAGGUAACGGCUCACCAAGGCAACGAUGCGUAGCCGACAUGAGAGGGUGAUCGGCCACACUGGGACUGAGACACGGCCCAGACUCCUACGGGAGGCAGCAGUAGGGAAUCUUCCGCAAUGGACGAAAGUCUGACGGAGCAACCCCGCGUGAGUGAUGAAGGCUUUCGGGUCGUAAAACUCUGUUGUUAGGGAAGAUCAAGUGCUAGUUGAAUAAGCUGGCACCUUGACGGUACCUAACCAGAAAGCCACGGCUAACUACGUGCCAGCCGCCGCGGUAA